rnacentral:tRNA from 1 species
UCGGGAUAGCUCAGUUGGUAGAGCAGAGGACUGAAAAUCCUCGUGUACCAGUUCAAAUA